CAUGGGAGUUGGGGGGACCUGAAGUUCGGGGUAACAACCGGACAAGGGUAAACCCGGCGACUGGGGCUAAGUCGUAACAAGGUAGCCGUACCGGAAGGUGCGGCUGGAACAUCUCCUUUCUGGAGCCAUU
rnacentral:rRNA from 1 species